AACGAACGCUGGCGGCAGGCUUAACACAUGCAAGUCGAACGCAUCGCAAGAUGAGUGGCAGACGGGUGAGUAACGCGUGGGAACAUACCCUUUUCUACGGAAUAGCUCUGGGAAACUGGAAUUAAUACCGUAUACGCCCUACGGGGGAAAGAUUUAUCGGGGAAGGAUUGGCCCGCGUUGGACUAGCUAGUUGGUGGGGUAAAGGCCUACCAAGGCGACGAUCCACAGCUGGUCUGAGAGGAUGAUCAGCCACAUUGGGACUGAGACACGGCCCAAACUCCUACGGGAGGCAGCAGUGGGGAAUAUUGGACAAUGGGCGCAGGCCUGAUCCAGCCAUGCCGCGUGAGUGAUGAAGGCCUUAGGGUUGUAAAGCUCUUUCACCGAUGAAGAUAAUGUCGGUAGUCGGAGAAGAAGCCCCGGCUAACUUCGUGCCAGCCGCCGCAGUAAAAC
rnacentral:rRNA from 1 species